AGCAUCUUCCAGCCAAGUAUGAGGGCUGGGCUGCCAGGCCGGGAGCCAGUGUUGUGCACUGACCUAGAACAUAUGGAACUGACUUCUCCACUCAGGGCUUGUCUCUCAGGCGCCUCCCGUGCUCUGGGGCAGCGGUCCCCGAGGCAGUGGCAGGAUGUGGAAACCUCCGGAAGGAAAAGUUUCCAAGGGUCACUUGUGUCUCGUCCGUGGGAAGACCGGGGGAGCCCAGAAGGCCUUGGUGUGGAAUUCUGAGAGCUGAUUCCUGCCUUGUCUUCUCCACUGUUCCUGGAGGAAUCCGAGAAGAGCAGAGCGGAGGGAGCCCCAGACACGGUCCGCGGGAGAGCUGUGGGGCUUGGUGAGUGUUUCGUGGCCUCUCGGGUUGGUCAGCACCCCCAGCCAGCUGGCCCAGGACCCCUCUACAGAAGUCCAGGAGAGCAGGCGUCACCAAGAUGUCCAACCCCUUCCUGAAGCAAGUCUUCAACAAGGACAAGACAUUCCGCCCCAAGCGCAAGUUUGAGCCAGGCACCCAGCGCUUCGAGCUGCACAAGAAGGCGCAGGCGUCGC
rnacentral:lncRNA from 1 species